ensembl:antisense Gm15589 predicted gene 15589
AUCAUAUCACCAGUUCCCUUGGGCUCUCCGAGGAAUGAAUACACACUCCAGUGCCUUCCAUGUUGAUUUCUGAACUGAGGUGAAGCAUCUGGGAUAACAUGACCAAGAAGAUGGCCCUGGUGCCUACUCUGACUGAGCCAGGUGUUCAAUCGGACCCUAAUUUGGCAUCAGGACAAGAUAGAGCAAGACAAACCAAACCAAACGGUGGGUGUGUCCUGGGAAAAUGAGGUAUUCUGCCCCUAACAAUCAAAAGACCCUGUUCUCCCUUGCA